rnacentral:rRNA from 1 species
AUGGGACUGCCGUGCACGGAUGACGACCGUCACUUCUUUGCGGCGGCCACUACAGUCACUAUUGGAAAUGGAAGGACAGCGAUGUUCUGGAACUCAUCUUGGCUAGGAGGAUUGUGCCCCUGUGACAUAGCUCCCGGUCUCUACAACCUCUCUCGCAAGAAAAACUCCUCGGUUCAGCAAGCUAUGGCCAGCAACCAAUGGAUUGCGAAUAUUGACAGCUCCAAUGGCCUCUCCCUUGAACACAUCCAACAGUUUGCUAACCUUUGGGACAAACUAGCAACAGUGGCCCUCGAUGACGACGUUGAAGACUCAAUUAUUUGGAAGUUCACCAAAGAUGGGAUAUAUUCUGCAUCCUCGGCUUACAAGGCUCAAUUUGAAGGCCUCACCACCUCGGACCUUGUCCAUUCGGUGUGGACGGUGUGGGCGCCCCCUCGGUGCAAGUUUUUUGCUUGGCUCGUUCUUCAAGAUAGGAUUUGGACUUCGGACCGCUUGAGCCGCCGUGGUUGGCCUAAUUGCGGUCUAUGCCCUCUUUGCAAGCAAACCCAAGAAACCGCGGCUCAUCUGCUUUUCCAGUGCCGCUACACCAUGCGCAUUUGGAAUGACGUCCUCCCAUGGCUCGGCAUGCAUCACAUCACCACGUCUACCUGGGUGACAAGGGCUUCGGUCAGAGAAUGGUGGAACGCUAACCUGCAGAUCCGUCUCAGCUCGCCCAAGGCGCUCGCCUCCCUCAUGAUGCUCAUCUCUUGGGAGGUUUGGUUGGAGCGCAAUGCUAGAGUCUUCCGCAACUCAGCGGCCCCUUCCAUGACCAUCAUCAGCAAAAUCAAGCAGAAGGUAUCGCUUUGGGCUUUGGCUGGAGCGAAGCAUUUGGGUGGUGUAAUGCCGCGAGAGUAG